UCGGCAUGGACGAAAGUCUGACGAGCACGCCGCGUGAGUGAAGAAGGUUUUCGGAUCGUAAAACUCUGUUGGUAGAGAAGAACGUUGGUGAGAGUGGAAAGCUCAUCAAGUGACGGUAACUACCCAGAAAGGGACGGCUAACUACGUGCCAGCAGCCGCGGUAAUACGUAGGUCCCGAGCGUUGUCCGGAUUUAUUGGGCGUAAAGCGAGCGCAGGUGGUUUAUUAAGUCUGGUGUAAAAGGCAGUGGCUCAACCAUUGUAUGCAUUGGAAACUGGUAGACUUGAGUGCAGGAGAGGAGAGUGGAAUUCCAUGUGUAGCGGUGAAAUGCGUAGAUAUAUGGAGGAACACCGGUGGCGAAAGCGGCUCUCUGGCCUGUAACUGACACUGAGGCUCGAAAGCGUGGGGAGCAAACAGGAUUAGAUACCCUGGUAGUCCACGCCGUAAACGAUGAGUGCUAGAUGUAGGGAGCUAUAAGUUCUCUGUAUCGCAGCUAACGCAAUAAGCACUCCGCCUGGGGAGUACGACCGCAAGGUUGAAACUCAAAGGAAUUGACGGGGGCCCGCACAAGCGGUGGAGCAUGUGGUUUAACUCGAAGCAACGCGAAAGAACCUUACCAGGUCUUGACAUACUCGUGCUAUUCCUAAGAUAGGAAGUUCCCUUUCGGGCACACGGGAUACCGGGUGGCUGCUUGGUUGU
rnacentral:rRNA from 1 species